rnacentral:rRNA from 1 species
GUAGGGAAUCUUGCGCAAUGGGCGAAAGCCUGACGCAGCCAUGCCGCGUGAAUGAUGAAGGUCUUAGGAUUGUAAAAUUCUUUCACCGGGGACGAUAAUGACGGUACCCGGAGAAGAAGCCCCGGCUAACUUCGUGCCAGCAGCCGCGGUCAUACGAAGGGGGCUAGCGUUGCUCGGAAUUACUGGGCGUAAAGGGAGCGUAGGCGGAUAGUUUAGUCAGAGGUGAAAGCCCAGGGCUCAACCUUGGAAUUGCCUUUGAUACUGGCUAUCUUGAGUAUGUAAGGGGUAUGUGGAACUCCGAGUGUAGAGGUGAAAUUCGUAGAUAGUCGGAAGAACACCAGUGGCGAAGGCGACAUACUGGUCCAUUACUGACGCUGAGGCUCGAAAGCGUGGGGAGCAAACAGGAUUAGAUACCCGUGUAGUCC